rnacentral:SRP_RNA from 1 species
GCUGGGUGUGGUGAUGCAUGCCUGUAGUCCCAGAUACUCAGGAGGCUGAGGCAGGAGGAUCACUUGAGCCCAGGGGGUGGAGGCUACAGUGAGCUGUGAUUGCACCACUACCCUCCAGCUUGGGCAACAGAGUGAGACCCUGUCUCAA